CGGGAAGUAGCUCAGCUUGGUAGAGCACUUGGUUUGGGACCAAGGGGUCGCGGGUUCAAAUCCUGUCUUCCCGA
rnacentral:tRNA from 1 species